AACGAACGCUGGCGGCAGGCCUAACACAUGCAAGUCGAACGCCGUAGCAAUACGGAGUGGCAGACGGGUGAGUAACACGUGGGAACAUGCCCUUCGGUUCGGAAUAACUCAGGGAAACUUGAGCUAAUACCGGAUACGUCCAAGGAAACUUGGAGAAAGAUUUAUCGCCGGAGGAUUGGCCCGCGUCUGAUUAGCUAGUUGGUGGGGUAAUGGCUCACCAAGGCGACGAUCAGUAGCUGGUCUGAGAGGAUGAUCAGCCACAUUGGGACUGAGACACGGCCCAAACUCCUACGGGUGGCAG
rnacentral:rRNA from 1 species